CAAACCCUCAAGCUCCUGCUUGGUGUUGGGCCUCUCGUCCGUCACUGGACGUGCCCGAAACUCGUAGGCGGUGGCGCCCAGCUCCUUUGCGUAGUUACACAUUCCGCUCUGGAUAGUUGGGCACUGCUCGCCUUCUAACCCCCAAUUUUUCUAUG
rnacentral:misc_RNA from 1 species